UACGUAGGUGGCAAGCGUUGUCCGGAUUUACUGGGCGUAAAGGGUGCGUAGGUGGAUAUUUAAGUCAGAUGUGAAAUACCCGAGCUCAACUUGGGUGCUGCAUUUGAAACUGGAUAUCUAGAGUGCAGGAGAGGAAAGUGGAAUUCCUAGUGUAGCGGUGAAAUGCGUAGAGAUUAGGAAGAACACCAGUGGCGAAGGCGACUUUCUGGACUGUAACUGACACUGAGGCACGAAAGCGUGGGUAGCAAACAGG
rnacentral:rRNA from 1 species